UUUUUGUUAUUGUUGUUUUUCUUUUUUUAAGAGACGUGAUCUCACUCUGCUGCCCAGGCUAGAGUGCAGUGGCACAAUCACAGCUCACUGCAGCCUUGAACUCCUGGGGUCAAGCUAUCCUCCUGCUUCAGCCUCCCGAGUUGCUGGGACUACAAGUGCAUGCCACCAUGCCCAGCUAAUUUAAAGAUUUUUUCUUGUAGAGACGAGGUAUUGCUAUAUUGCUCAAGUGGAUCUUGAACUUCUGGCCUCAAGCGAUCUUCCCUCUUUGGCCUCCCAAAGUGCUGGGAUGACAGGUGUGAGCCACCAUGCACGCACCACUACCACCCGGCUAGUUUUUGUAUUUUUAGUAGAGAUGGGGUUUCACCAUGUUGGCCAGGCUGGUCUCAAACUCCUGACCUCAAGUGAUCAGCCUGCCUCAGCCUUCCAAAGUGCUGGGAUCACAGGCAUGAGCCACUGCACCUGGCCCCUUCUAAUUUUGGAUUUGCCACUUAGUUUUGUGAAGUUGGUCAAGUUUUGUAACUUCUCUGUGCCUUGGCUUCUGUAUUGGUAAAUAGGGAUAAUAAUUGGUUAUGAGGACUAAAUGAUUUAACAGAUAAAAAGUGCUUAGAACAGUGCCUGACACAUCAUAGUGAUGUUGACUGUUGAAGUAGCCACCUAGCUGACUGACCUCUGUAGCUGUUCCUCUUCUAAAGCCCUUCCCACUCUGCUAUUGAGUCAGCUUUCAAAAAUGGACAUCAGACCACAUUAUUCCCUUUUGAAAGUCUUUCUGUGGCUUCCCUAAUCUGACCACUACUUAUAGACUUAGCUCAUCUCCAUUGUCCCUUUUCUGUCACUCUCUGUCAUAGCUGUAUUGUAAAUAAUUGACAGUUUUUUGAAUAUGCUGUGAUCUUGCAUGCCUUGGCAUCUUUGCACUUGCUGUUUCUUCUUGUACUUGAAGUGCCCCUCCUUCCCUGGUGUUAUUUGCAAAUCUUUAAUGAUCAUUCCAGACUAAGUCUAAACCUCCUGUGGAAACCUGGCCCUCUCCAUGUAGAGUUGAUCACUCCCUUCAUGCUCACCAUAAUAUAUUGCCAUCAUUUAUUUCUACUAUCUGUUAAGCAGACAAACAAGACUGAUCUUUAGCUCCAUGAUGGUGGGAGAUGAGUCUCUUAUUCUUCCUCUUGUGAUGCAGGGCUUUGUAUAGUGAUUAGCACAGAGCACAUGCUCCAUAAACAUUGUUGAAUUGGUAAUCGCAUGUUCAGAAGUUUACUAAGAUUUCUGCACUGCUUUUCUCCAAUUUCUCCAGGCUACAAGAAUUAGUUGAUCGAGUGCUGGAACGUUUUCAGGCAUCUGGACUAAUAGUGAAAGAGUGGAAUAGUGUGAAACUGCAUGCUACAGUUAUGAAUACACUAUUCAGGAAAGACCCCAAUGCUGAAGGCAGGUACAAUCUCUACACAGCGGAUGGCAAAUGUAUCUUCAAGGAAAGAGAAUCAUUUGAUGGCCGAAAUAUUUUAAAGUUGUUUGAGAACUUCUACUUUGGCUCCCUAAAGCUGAAUUCAAUUCACAUCUCUCAGAGGUUCACCGUAGACAGCUUUGGAAACUACGCUUCCUGUGGACAAAUUGACUUCUCCUGAGGUGGAUCUUGGAAAGCACUAGAAACUAAACAUCUUCACCAGGUGCUGAAGAAAAGUGUCUUCGUUUUAAUUGCCAAGCAGAGAUGUGGACAUUUGGAUGGUGACUUUCCUGGGUGGUUCCCCAUAGAUUCACCAUUGCCUCUAAUGGUGUCUACAGCCAUCAUACUACCAGCUGAGAUGGUGGUGGGCAUAAGGAGAAUUUGUGCCUAUAACCCUUAGUGUGUUCUGGUUUUUUUUCUUUUAAUUUUUAAAUUGUCGUAAAAUACUCAUAAAACAUACUGUCUUCACCAUUUUUAAGUGCACAGUUCAGUGACGUUAACUGUUAAUACAUUCAUAAUGCUGUGUGGCCGUCACCGCCGUCCAUCUCCAUAGGCUUCUCAGCUUGUAAAAUGGAAACUGUACCCAUUAAACAGUAAUUCCCACUCCUCCCAGCCCCCGCAGCCACCAUUCUGCUUUCUGUCUCUCUGGUUUUGACUAUUCUCAGUAUCUCAUAUAAGUGGAAUCAUACAGUGACUUGUCUUUUUGUGACUGGCUUAUUUCACUUAGCAUAAUGUCCUCAAGGUUCAUCCAUGUUGUGUCAGGUGACAGGAUUUCCUUCCUGUAUUAUACAUAUAAUGGAAUGUUCCGUUACAUGUGUGUACCACACUCUGUUCCUCCAUCAGUGAACACUUGGCUUGCUUCCUCUUGACUAUUGGCAGUAGUGCUAAUACAGACACGGGGGUGCAAAUAUCUCUUUGAGACUCUGCCUUUAAUUCCUUUACCACCCAGAGUUUUAUCUUUAGCAAAAUAACCAUUAAAGUUUUUUGCCUUUU
rnacentral:sRNA from 1 species